rnacentral:rRNA from 1 species
UGGGGAAUUUUGGACAAUGGGCGAAAGCCUGAUCCAGCAAUGCCGCGUGUGUGAAGAAGGCCUUCGGGUUGUAAAGCACUUUUGUCCGGAAAGAAAUCCUUGGCUCUAAUACAGUCGGGGGAUGACGGUACCGGAAGAAUAAGCACCGGCUAACUACGUGCCAGCAGCCGCGGUAAUACGUAGGGUGCAAGCGUUAAUCGGAAUUACUGGGCGUAAAGCGUGCGCAGGCGGUUUGCUAAGACCGAUGUGAAAUCCCCGGGCUCAACCUGGGAACUGCAUUGGUGACUGGCAGGCUAGAGUAUGGCAGAGGGGGGUAGAAUUCCACGUGUAGCAGUGAAAUGCGUAGAGAUGUGGAGGAAUACCGAUGGCGAAGGCAGCCCCCUGGGCCAAUACUGACGCUCAUGCACGAAAGGCGUGGGGAGCAAACAGGAUUAGAUACCCUGGUAGUCCACGCCCUAAACGAUGUCAACUAGUUGUUGGGGAUUCAUUUCCUAGUAACGUAGCUAACGCGUGAAGUUGACCGCCUGGGGAGUACGGUCGCAAGAUUAAAACUCAAAUGAAUUGACGGGGUCAUAGCUGUUUCCU